GAGGGUAUAGCUCAAAUGGUAGAGCACUUGCUUAGCAUGCAUGAGGUCCUGGGUUCAAUCCCCAGUACCUCCU
rnacentral:tRNA from 1 species